rnacentral:rRNA from 1 species
AGUGAACGCUGGCGGUAGGCCUAACACAUGCAAGUCGAACGGCAGCACAGUAAGGGCUUGCUCGUACGGGUGGCGAGUGGCGGACGGGUGAGGAAUACAUCGGAAUCUACAUUUUCGUGGGGGAUAACGUAGGGAAACUUACGCUAAUACCGCAUACGACCUACGGGUGAAAGCAGGGGAUCUUCGGACCUUGCGCGAUUGAAUGAGCCGAUGUCGAAUUAGCGAGUGGGCUGGGUAAAGGCCGACUAAGGCGACGAUCCGUAGCUGGUCUGGGAGAAUGACAGGCGCCACUGGGACUGGGAGACGGUCCAGACUCCUACGGGAGGCCGCAGCGGGGACUAUUGGACAAUGGGCGUAAGCAUUAUCCAGCAAUACGGCGUAGGUGAAGAAGGCCUUGCGGUGGUAAAGCCGUUUUGUUGGGAGAGAAAAGCUUCAGGUCAAGGCCCAGCUGUUCUGACGGUACCCGAAGAAUAAGCACCGGCUAACUUCGUG